GUGUAUUUAUUAGAUAAAAAACCCAAUGCCCUUUCGGGGCUCCUUUGGUGAUUCAUAAUAACUUCUCAGAUCGCAUGGCCUUGCGCCGGCGACGGUUCAUUCAAAUUUCUGCCCUAUCAACUUUCGAUGGUAAGGUAUUGGCUUACCAUGGUUUCAACGGGUAACGGGGAAUUAGGGUUCGAUUCCGGAGAGGGAGCCUGAGAAACGGCUACCACAUCCAAGGAAGGCAGCAGGCGCGCAAAUUACCCAAUCCCGACACGGGGAGGUAGUGACAAUAAAUACUGAUACAGGGCUCUUUAGGGUCUUGUAAUUGGAAUGAGUACAAUUUAAACCUCUUAACGAGGAACAAUUGGAGGGCAAGUCUGGUGCCAGCAGCCGCGGUAAUUCCAGCUCCAAUAGCGUAUAUUAAAGUUGUUGCAGUUAAAAAGCUCGUAGUUGAACCUUUGGCCUGGCUGGCGGGUCCGCCUCACCGCGUGCACUCGUCCGGCCGGGCCUUUUCUUCUGGAGAACCGCAUGCCCUUCACUGGGUGUGUUGGGGACCAGGACUUUUACUUUGAAAAAAUUAGAGUGUUCAAAGCAGGCCUUUGCUCGAAUACGUUAGCAUGGAAUAAUAGAAUAGGACGUGCGGUCCUAUUUUGUUGGUUUCUAGGACCGCCGUAAUGAUUAAUAGGGACAGUCGGGGGCAUCAGUAUUCAAUUGUCAGAGGUGAAAUUCUUGGAUUUAUUGAAGACUAACUACUGCGAAAGCAUUUGCCAAGGAUGUUUUCAUUAAUCAGUGAACGAAAGUUAGGGGAUCGAAGACGAUCAGAUACCGUCGUAGUCUUAACCAUAAACUAUGCCGACUAGGGAUCGGGCGGUGUUACUAUUUUGACCCGCUCGGCACCUUACGAGAAAUCAAAGUGUUUGGGUUCUGGGGGGAGUAUGGUCGCAAGGCUGAAACUUAAAGAAAUG
rnacentral:rRNA from 1 species